GUGGAUCAGACAAUAUGUAUACAUUCAGUGUACACUGGUAUAGGAGCUGGUGUAGCAGUGAUUGUCAUUGGUAUACUAAUAAUACUCAUUAUUGUUGGUUGUAUGAUCUUGCAGUUGCAUAAACCUUGGAAAGGAGAGAAAGAAAACACUACCCCAAUUCAGUAAUAUGAUACACCAACAGAUACAGCGCAGGCGGUUCCUAAUGUACCAGUUAGUAUGAAUACAACUUAUGGAACAGCCACUGGUAGUAGAGGGGUAGUACAUACUUCAGAUAAUGUUGCUUAUGGUCAAGUGAGUACUACUAGUAACACUGGAGCAAGGCAAACUGAUACUGUUGUAUAUGAAGCAGUUCAAUAAUGGAAUGUGUCUGUUAUUUGUAAUGACAUGUUCUUACUUUAUCAAUUUUUAUUAUUGUUUUGAAAACUGUACAACUGUAGACCAAUUGUUUUCAUUUGUUAUUUUUAAAAUUAGUUACUUUUAUAGUUAGAAAAAUCUA